rnacentral:rRNA from 1 species
AACGAACGCUGGCGGCAGGCCUAACACAUGCAAGUCGAGCGCGCCCUUCGGGGUGAGCGGCGGACGGGUGAGUAACGCGUGGGAACGUGCCCUUUUCUACGGAAUAGCCCCGGGAAACUGAGAGUAAUACCGUAUACGCCCUUUGGGGGAAAGAUUUAUCGGAAAAGGAUCGGCCCGCGUUGGAUUAGGUAGUUGGUGGGGUAAUGGCCUACCAAGCCGACGAUCCAUAGCUGGUUUGAGAGGAUGAUCAGCCACACUGGGACUGAGACACGGCCCAGACUCCUACGGGAGGCAGCAGUGGGGAAUCUUAGACAAUGGGGGCAACCCUGAUCUAGCCAUGCCGCGUGAGUGAUGAAGGCCUUAGGGUUGUAAAGCUCUUUCAGCUGGGAAGAUAAUGACGGUACCAGCAGAAGAAGCCCCGGCUAACUCCGUG